GUCCCUGUAGUACAGUGGAUAUCGCGUUGGACUUCAAAUCCAAAGGUCGUGGGCUCGAAUCCCACCUGGGAUU